AAUCGCAGCUUGUGGCCGUACUGAAUGCUGCAACUCAUAAUAUUCGCAGCCUCCAUGUCUCGAGUUUGCUGCAAUUAGAAUCGCAAUCUCUCUUCUCAACCCAGCCAAGCUUCGUUCUCUAGAAAACAAACGGAACCCUAAAUCUAAAUCUCAAAAUUUUCUCUGUCCUCCGCAUUCAUCUUCCUCCUUCGUUGAUUUUCUCGGUCCUUCGCAUUCACCGCUGGCAUUCAUCUUUUCCGGCCACCGUUGAUCUUCCUCUUCAUCGUUGAUUUUCUCUUUUGCUGGCCACUGUAACGCUCCCUCGCCUGUAUUCAUCAUUUUCCGGCCACCUGUAACGUUCCUUGGACGCUCCUUGCUGAUAAUUGAAUUUGCCGGUAUUCUUCCUCUCUGCUCCUUGAAUUCGCCGGUAUUCUUCCUCUUUGCUCCUUGAAUUCGCCAGUGUUCCUUCUCUCUGGUUCCUUCUCAACACCGCGCCGCCGGUAUUCUUCCUCUCUGCUCCUUGAAUUUGCGGUACCUAGUGAAUCCCUCAAGGUUCAACAUCGAUUCGAAAUUGAAGCAGGAAGCAUUUGAAGUUGCUUAGAUGUUUAUUGGAGACGGAGUAAAGCUUGUACGUGAUGCUUUUGAACUUGCAAAAGAGAAGGCUCCUUGCAUCAUAUUUAUUGAUGAAAUUGAUGCCAUUGGUACUAAGCGGUUUGACAGUGAAGUGAGUGGUGACAGGGAAGUGCAACGAACUAUGUUAGAGCUGCUAAAUCAACUUGAUGGUUUCAGUAGUGAUGAAAGGAUUGAGGGCUGAUAUUCUGGACCAAGCGCUCAUGCGGUCUGGUCGGCUCGACCGUAAAAUUGAAUUCCCUCACCCUACUGAGGAGGCCAGGGCGCGGAUUCUCCAGGGUUAUGUACAAAGAGCAAUCCCGUACUCUAAUGAGGAGUUAGAAGAAACUCGAGAACAAUGGGCAAAGUAUUUUAAGGACAAGUAUUUGAUGGAUGCCGCCGAAUGAGUUUGGGGUCGAUCUAGACGUAAUAUAUGUUGUAUGUUUUUGUUUUCUAGAAUAUAUUUAAUGGAUGUUAUGUAUGUGCAUUGAAAUGUAUUAUGAUGUUAGAUGCUGGUUAGUUGUAACAUAUAUGGAUGUUGGAGCAUAUAUGUAUGCUAUGUAUUAUAUACAGGUUUUUAUAUAAAUUCCCGUUUUGAUCGGGAUUCACAAAA